rnacentral:lncRNA from 1 species
AUGUUUGUCCACCUGGACAUAUGUCGGUCAUGUUGGGCUUCUACUUUCUGUGUAGGGCUAGUUGAGCCAUGCUCAGGGUGUAGCAUGUUUAUUGAUUGUUCCAAUCAACUUAUGGGGCCAUUUCGGUUUCAAAAAUAGUUUGGAACUGAGCUUUAUUAUUUAUUUAAGCCUAAGCCUUUUGAGCAACUUUUCUAUCACUAUAUAAUUUUAUCGUGAAACGUGUUGUCUAUGAUAGGAUGGUAUUUGCUUUAAUUGCAUUCUGCCAUUCGACUAAGAGGAGCAGUUUUUCGUCCUUGAUCAUGAGCAAGUAUCAGCAGAAUGCAGGUGUAUGUUGUAUUUUAGUCUGUCUUGGUUGUAGGCAAACAAAGGUGGGUGAUUGAUCUGAGACAUUCGCAAGCAUUGGCUUGAUUGAUGUUUGUCCGUCAAUCUGGAUUAAUGUGUGAUUCAAAUAAAACCUAUCCAAUCUAGAGCAAAUCAUCAAAAAUGAGGCUUGUCGAUUAUCCCAAAAUUGUUUCUGGGAUGUUUUCCUGAACUCGUCAACUCUGUAACAGUCUUGCAGCCUAAAAUGGACUGGGAGAGCUCUCCAUGCUGUGAAUUCUCUUUGCCUUCUCCCAAUUGUUGGUUGUCCACCCAUUUUAUCAUCGAGGUCUUCGAUCAUGUUGAAGUCCUUGGCAAGUAUCCAAUUUUCUUGUGGGAG